GCUCACAUAGUACAGAGGUAGUACAUCAGAUUGUGGC
rnacentral:tRNA from 1 species